rnacentral:misc_RNA from 1 species
UGUGGGAGCGAGCCUGCUCGCGAUGGCUUCAGUCCAGCCUGCAUCCCUGCUGAAUGUGCCACCGCUAUCGCGAGCAGGCUCGCUCCCACA